rnacentral:rRNA from 1 species
UACGUAGGGUGCGAGCGUUAAUCGGAAUUACUGGGCGUAAAGCGUGCGCAGGCGGCUUUGCAAGACAGAUGUGAAAUCCCCGGGCUCAACCUGGGAACUGCAUUUGUGACUGCAAGGCUAGAGUACGGCAGAGGGGGAUGGAAUUCCGCGUGUAGCAGUGAAAUGCGUAGAUAUGCGGAGGAACACCAAUGGCGAAGGCAAUCCCCUGGGCCUGUACUGACGCUCAUGCACGAAAGCGUGGGGAGCAAUCAGG